rnacentral:rRNA from 1 species
AGAGUUUGAGUCCUGGGCUCGGGACGAACGCUGGCGGCGUGCUUAACACAUGCAAGUCGAGCGGUAAGGCCUUUCGGGGUACACGAGCGGCGAACGGGUGAGUAACACGUGGGUGAUCUGCCCUGCACUCUGGGAUAAGCUUGGGAAACUGGGUCUAAUACCGGAUAUGACCGCAUGCCGCAUGGUGUGUGGUGGAAAGAUUUAUCCGGUGCAGGAUGGGCCCGCGGCCUAUCAGCUUGUUGGUGGGGUAAUGGCCUACCAAGGCGACGACGGGUAGCCGACCUGAGAGGGUGACCGGCCACACUGGGACUGAGACACGGCCCAGACUCCUACGGGAGGCAGCAGUGGGGAAUAUUGCACAAUGGGCGGAAGCCUGAUGCAGCGACGCCGCGUGAGGGAUGAAGGCCUUCGGGUUGUAAACCUCUUUCAGCAGGGACGAAGCGUGAGUGACGGUACCCGCAGAAGAAGCACCGGCUAACUACGUG